rnacentral:misc_RNA from 1 species
GAUGAAGAACGCAGCGAAAUGCGAUAAGUAGUGUGAAUUGCAGAAUUCAGUGAAUCAUCGAAUCUUUGAACGCACAUUGCGCCCCUUGGUAUUCCAUGGGGCAUGCCUGUUCGAGCGUCAUUUGUAUCUUCAAGCUCUGCUUGGUGUUGGGUGUUUGUCUCGCCUCUGCGUGUAGACUCGCCUCAAAACAAUUGGCAGCCGGCGUAUUGAUUUCGGAGCGCAGUACAUCUCGCGCUUUGCACUCAUAACGACGACGUCCAAAAGUACAUUUUUACACUCUUGACCUCGGAUCAGGUAGGGAUACCCGCUGAACUUAAGCAUAUCAAUAAGCGGAGGA